UAGGGAAUAUUGCACAAUGGGGGAAACCCUGAUGCAGCGACGCCGCGUGAGUGAUGAAGGCCUUCGGGUCGUAAAGCUCUGUCGUAUGGGGCUAACAAAAUGAAGGUACCAUGCAAGAAAGGAUCGGCUAACUUCGUGCCAGCAGCCGCGGUAAGACGAGGGAUCCUAGCGUUGUUCGGAAUUAUUGGGCGUAAAGCGGGUGUAGGCGGACUUAUAAGUCAGGUGUGAAAUCCCAGGGCUCAACCCUGGAAGUGCACUUGAUACUGCAAGUCUUGAGUGUGGUAGAGGCUAUUAGAAUUCCUGGUGUAGUGGUGAAAUACGUAGAUAUCAGGAGGAAUACCGGAGGCGAAGGCGGAUAGCUGGGCCAACACUGACGCUGAGACCCGAAAGCGUGGGGAUCAAACAGGAUUAGAUACCCCUGUAGUCCCUGAGCGGGCUGGCAAGGCGCAU
rnacentral:rRNA from 1 species